CUUCGGAUCUCCAAUUCCAGCCUUGCCAUUCGCUUUCUGGCGCAUCCUCGUGCUUUGUUACCUAUCCAAAUUAAGGUUACAAUUUUAGAAAUUUUAAACGAAAUCAAGUGACAUAGAUCGAUACAUAGCAUUUAGUUUAAAAGUUUGGUGAACCUCUUUGCUAUCAGAAUCAUCAGGAGCAAGGAAACGGUUGCCUUGAGAGUUGAUGGUAGGAUUAGCACUUCCUCCAAUCGCAUACAUUUCCCAAUGUGUAUAGUCAUUGUUCACCACAUGGAAAUAUCCAUGUCUACACCUAUAUACUCACAUAACUUCACAUUAGUUUGUUACAAUUAAUUGUCAUGUCUCUACUUAUAUGGAGUUCUAUCUAUCUGAUAUUGAUCUAACAUAUAAGAUUAAAAUAUUAGCUCAACUAACUCAACUGUUUUUUUUCAGUUGAUUUAGACAGCAUACUUAUUUCGGUUGAUCCAUCUUAGAUCUAGAUAAAGGAAAAACGUAUUAAAGUGUUUAGUGUUGUAUUUAUUUUUGGCUUUGAUAUUUCUUUUAAGAGUAUGUUCAACCGACAAUAUAUACUUGACUUUUAUAGUUGGUGACUUAUAUAUCCACAAAUAUAAUAAGUAUACUAAAUAUGAAAAUUCUGUUUUCGAUAAAAAAAUACCUUG
rnacentral:lncRNA from 1 species